rnacentral:rRNA from 1 species
GAUCUGGCUCAGGACGAACGCUGGCGGCGUGCUUAACACAUGCAAGUCGAACGGAGCACCCUUGAUUGAGGUUUCGGCCAAAUGAUAGGAAUGCUUAGUGGCGGACUGGUGAGUAACGCGUGAGGAACUUGCCUUUCAGAGGGGGACAACAGUUGGAAACGACUGCUAAUACCGCAUGACGCAUUUUGAUCGCAUGGUCGAAAUGCCAAAGAUUUAUCGCUGAAAGAUGG